UGCAUAUUCCCAUUUCCAGUGACCUGCCUUGGAAUAUGAACAGGAAAAUCCAGGUUGGCUGGCUCCUCUGGCUGAUGGCAUGUUGAGGCACAUGGGCCAGUGGCAACGGGGGCAUCCAAUCCAGAGAGGGCCGCUCUAGAGGCCAGGCCACCAGCAUCAUGGGCCAGUGUGUCACCAAGUGUAAGAAUCCCUCAUCAACUCUGGGUAGCAAGAAUGGAGACCGUGACCCCAGCAGCAAGUCACAUGGUAGGCGGAGUGCAAGCCACCGUGAGGAACAGCUGCCAGCCUGUGGCAAGCCAGGUGGAGAUAUCCUUGUCAAUGGGACCAAGAAGGCAGAGGCUGCUACUGAGGCCUGCCAGCUGCCAACAUCCUCCGGAGAUGCUGGGAGGGAGCCCAAGUCAAAUGCCGAGGAGUCUUCUUUGCAGAGGUUGGAAGAACUGUUCAGGCGCUAUAAGGAUGAACGGGAGGAUGCAAUUUUGGAGGAAGGCAUGGAGCGCUUUUGCAAUGAUCUAUGUGUGGACCCCACGGAAUUUCGAGUGCUGCUUUUGGCUUGGAAGUUCCAGGCUGCUACCAUGUGCAAAUUUACCAGGAAGGAAUUUUUUGAUGGCUGCAAAGCAAUAAGUGCAGACAGCAUUGAUGGGAUCUGUGCACGGUUCCCUAGCCUCUUAACAGAAGCCAAACAAGAGGAUAAAUUCAAGGAUCUCUACCGGUUUACAUUUCAGUUUGGCCUGGACUCUGAAGAAGGGCAGCGGUCACUGCAUCGAGAAAUAGCCAUUGCCCUGUGGAAACUCGUCUUUACCCAGAACAAUCCUCCGGUAUUGGACCAGUGGCUAAACUUCCUAACAGAGAACCCCUCGGGGAUCAAGGGCAUCUCCAGGGACACUUGGAAUAUGUUCCUUAACUUCACUCAGGUGAUUGGCCCUGACCUCAGCAACUACAGCGAAGAUGAGGCCUGGCCAAGUCUCUUCGAUACCUUUGUGGAGUGGGAAAUGGAGCGAAGGAAAAGAGAAGGGGAAGGGAGAGGUACACUCAGCUCAGGGCCCGAGGGCUUGUGUCCCGAGGAGCAGACUUAGUGGCUCUGUCUCAGGAGCAGCAGCAAGGAUCUGCCUGCUGCCCUGCAGUCAACCAAGGAAUUGGACCUUUCUGGAAAUUACUGAAGAUCCGGAUAUUUUCUACUUCACACCUUUCUCUGCCUUGUAUCUGAAAGGGCUCUAAAAUGCUGUAUCCUGUUUUAGGCACUUUCUUCACUUUUGGUUAUUUCCCUUUUUUGGGGAGGGGUCCCCCAAAAUAUUUGAACCUGGCUACAUGUUGUAUAUUUUUUUUUUUUGAAGCCUUCAGAUAGAAUAAGCCUGCCACUUCUUGCACAAGUUAGACUUUUUUUUUUUUGGUGGGGGAGGGUGUAGAGCAGGUAGUAGGGAAUGGGACAGUUAGGUUGAAUUAUCAUUAUAAAAUGAUAGUGCCAGAUCUCAGUUUUGCAUAUUCUUGUUUUUCAGGGCAGGUCUGUACUGUGUGUAGUGCUGUUUACAUGGUUGAAUUUAGGUUGUAAUAAUUACUUUUAAAGAUUUACACAGAGUUGAAUUUUGAAUUAGCAGUGUUAACUGUUAACCACAUUGCAUUAAUUCCCAGGCGAUUUAAAGUUCUUGGAGAGCCAAGGCCGGCCAAGAGCGUUUGUAGUCUGGUGACGACCCCCUUUUAAGCUAAUUUAUCUGAAACUCUUUAUUUUUCUCACUUCUUGCUCAUUCCUUCUUUGACCUAUUGCAUUUCAUGUUGAGUUUAUCCAUCAACAUGCUACACCUGUCAGUCAAGUGAGCAGUUUUGUUAGAACACAUUGUACUGAGAACCACUUAAGCAUUGAAUGCAGAGAAAGCAGUGCUACCUCAGUUUUGCUGGAAGUAGACUUUGAUAGUUUUCUUUCUUUGAUGAAUUUUCUGUAUUUUCAUGUUGUAAGUGGAAAUACGUUUUUUUUUUUGUUUUUUUUUUUCAUUUGCUUUGGAGCCAAAGUUUCUGUUCCUGGUGGUCGGAAAACUGUGCCUGCCGGCCAACUGACUUGAAGGAAAACUGUGGUGCUGGAGUUAUCACAUCCUUCUCCCUAUUCCUCUCUUUGAAAACUGAGCCUGCUCUUCUACCACCCACCUUCCCUACAACUUUCAACAUAAAUCUUGCAUAUUGCCAAAGGAAGCCAUUCAGCAGCUGCUGUGGUUUUUUCCCCCAACACAUUUAUUCUGCGAGAAGUGUCUUCCUUCUGACCCUGGUCCUAGCCCCUUGAGUCUGUUAUUAAUUGCUCUUACCUGUUGCACUAAUGGAUAUGAUUCUAGGUUUCAAAGGAGGGAUUUGAAGCAAUAGGCAAAUGGGGCUUGGAUAAACUGGUCCUACAAAUAAGAUACCCUGCCUUAUCCCGCUGAGGUGAUGAGUCCACUGCUCAUGUGACCCUCCACCUUUGUGGAUUCCUCUUGGUUUGUGACCAGCGUGUCUGUUUCUUGAAGUUGUACAAACUUGUUGACAAAAGUCAAUACUUUGAUUUGUAUUCUCUGCACUGUUGCACUCUCCAAAUGGCUCCUUGAAUAUUUUUAUUAACUUGUUACACACAUUAUUGUCUACUUUUUUAUUUGGAAGGUAAUCUGCUGUUGGACUUAAUAAAUUUGUUUACUUGACUAAUGACAGUUCUGCAAGAAACAAAAAACCACCCCCCAAACAAAAAAAUAUCUGUGACUUCAUUCUGGGGUGAGCUUUACCCACCAGGAGCCUCUUCCAACAUAAUGGAUGGCAAAUCCUGUGCUUUGGAAAACCGUCCAGAUCAUACAGGAUCCCCAGCUACAAAUAUGGAUGUUGAUCUCCCACUCACCAAGUUU